AUACGUAGGGUGCGAGCGUUGUCCGGAAUUACUGGGCGUAAAGAGCUCGUAGGUGGUUUGUCGCGUCGUCUGUGAAAUUCCGGGGCUUAACUCCGGGCGUGCAGGCGAUACGGGCAUAACUUGAGUACUGUUGGGGAGACUGGAAUUCCUGGUGUAGCGGUGAAAUGCGCAGAUAUCAGGAGGAACACCGGUGGCGAAGGCGGGUCUCUGGGCAGUAACUGACGCUGAGGAGCGAAAGCAUGGGUAGCGAACAGGAUUAGAUACCCUGGUAGUCCAUGCCGUAAACGGUGGGCGCUAGGUGUAGGGGUCUUCCACGACUUCUGUGCCGUAGCUAACGCAUUAAGCGCCCCGCCUGGGGAGUACGGCCGCAAGGCUAAAACUCAAAUGAAUUGACGGGG
rnacentral:rRNA from 1 species